rnacentral:lncRNA from 1 species
AGAGAAGGCAAAAGACCCAAGGCCGCUGAGCAGACUCACCGUACUCUUCCCGUGGGGCUGUCCCAUCUCCCCGGAGCGUGCCCUGGAUUCUCAGACAGGGAGGCUCAAAGACCGUCUAGGAGGCAGCGAGCAGGUGAGCGGAAGCCGAGAGUCACCGGCCGGCCGGUACCGGUCUGACGAGUCACCGAGCAGAUUGCAGCUGGGCUUAGGAGAGAUAACAUCAGCAUGCUGCCUACUGGGAGGGAAACUCUCCCCUCACAACCCCACCAGCUCCGUGGACUCUACAGCCAGGCUCGCGCAUCCUUGGUGAAAGCCAACCCACCCCAGACAAGUGUCAAGUGAACUAACCCUCCAUUUCCUAAUCGGAGGGAGCUAUUUUUAAGAGCCAAGGUCUAAUUUAAGCUCUGCCAGGUCAUCUAGAAUAAACAGGUCCCACCCCAACUCAAAACCCAGGGCUGGGGCUGGUCUCAGUCUUCACAGGGCACUGCAGCUCCCAGGACUCCCCCAGUCCGGGUUUCCCAGGUAAUCUCAG